rnacentral:rRNA from 1 species
UACGGAGGGUGCAAGCGUUGUCCGGAAUCACUGGGCGUAAAGGGCGCGUAGGCGGCUCAUGAAGGCUGUGGUGAAAGUCCGGGGCUCAACCUCGGAUCGGCCGUGGCGACUCGUGGGCUGGAGCACUGUAGAGGCGGGUGGAAUUCCGGGUGUAGCGGUGGAAUGCGUAGAGAUCCGGAAGAACACCAGUGGCGAAGGCGGCCUGCUGGGCAGUUUCUGACACUGAUGCGCGACAGCGUGGGGAGCAAACAGG